rnacentral:misc_RNA from 1 species
UCAGGAUCUUGCACCUCAUCCUCUAAAUCACUGGACUGAACUGCUAAAGUAUCAAUAUCAAGCUCCACCUAUUCUUUGACACCGUGAUCUAAUUCUGCUAUUGACUUCUCCCUUUGACUAUCCAAUGAAGUAGACUCACGAUUGUAAAAUUUCAACCCAUUAUCAGUUCUAAGAUGCUUGACCUUUUUUUGUCUGUUUCUCAAUCAUCGUCUUCCACUUU